AUACGGAGGAUCCGAGCGUUAUCCGGAUUUAUUGGGUUUAAAGGGUGCGCAGGCGGGAGAUUAAGUCGGCGGUGAAAUUUUGCAGCUCAAAUGUAAAAGUGUCAUCGAUACUGGGUUUCUUGAGUGUGGAUGAAGUAGGCGGGAUUUGUGGUGUAGCGGUGAAAUGCAUAGAUAUCACGAGGAACUCCGAUUGCGCAGGCAGCUUACUAGGCCAUAACUGACGCUCAGGCACGAAGGCGUGGGGAUCAAACAGGAUUAGAUACCCUGGUAGUCCACGCAGUAAACGAUGAUUACUCGCUGUUUGCGAUACACAGUAAGCGGCUUAGCGAAAGCGUUAAGUAAUCCACCUGGGGAGUACGUUCGCAAGAAUGAAACUCAAAGGAAUUGACGGGG
rnacentral:rRNA from 1 species